AGUCGAACGAUGAUGCCCAGCUUGCUGGGCGGAUUAGUGGCGAACGGGUGAGUAACACGUGAGUAACCUGCCCCUGACUCUGGGAUAAGCGUUGGAAACGACGUCUAAUACUGGAUAUGAUCACCGGCCGCAUGGUCUGGUGGUGGAAAGAUUUUUUGGUUGGGGAUGGACUCGCGGCCUAUCAGCUUGUUGGUGAGGUAAUGGCUCACCAAGGCGACGACGGGUAGCCGGCCUGAGAGGGUGACCGGCCACACUGGGACUGAGACACGGCCCAGACUCCUACGGGAGGCAGCAGUGGGGAAUAUUGCACAAUGGGCGAAAGCCUGAUGCAGCAACGCCGCGUGAGGGAUGACGGCCUUCGGGUUGUAAACCUCUUUUAGUAGGGAAGAAGCGAAAGUGACGGUACCUGCAGAAAAAGCACCGGCUAACUACGUGCCAGCAGCCGCGGUAAUACGUAGGGUGCAAGCGUUGUCCGGAAUUAUUGGGCGUAAAGAGCUCGUAGGCGGUUUGUCGCGUCUGCUGUGAAAUCCCGAGGCUCAACCUCGGGCUUGCAGUGGGUACGGGCAGACUAGAGUGCGGUAGGGGAGAUUGGAAUUCCUGGUGUAGCGGUGGAAUGCGCAGAUAUCAGGAGGAACACCGAUGGCGAAGGCAGAUCUCUGGGCCGUAACUGACGCUGAGGAGCGAAAGCAUGGGGAGCGAACAGGAUUAGAUACCCUGGUAGUCCAUGCCGUAAACGUUGGGCGCUAGAUGUAGGGACCUUUCCACGGUUUCUGUGUCGUAGCUAACGCAUUAAGCGCCCCGCCUGGGGAGUACGGCCGCAAGGCUAAAACUCAAAGGAAUUGACGGGGGCCCGCACAAGCGGCGGAGCAUGCGGAUUAAUUCGAUGCAACGCGAAGAACCUUACCAAGGCUUGACAUACACCGGAAACGGCCAGAGAUGGUCGCCCCCUUGUGGUCGGUGUACAGGUGGUGCAUGGUUGUCGUCAGCUCGUGUCGUGAGAUGUUGGGUUAAGUCCCGCAACGAGCGCAACCCUCGUUCUAUGUUGCCAGCGGGUUAUGCCGGGGACUCAUAGGAGACUGCCGGGGUCAACUCGGAGGAAGGUGGGGAUGACGUCAAAUCAUCAUGCCCCUUAUGUCUUGGGCUUCACGCAUGCUACAAUGGCCGGUACAAAGGGCUGCGAUACCGUAAGGUGGAGCGAAUCCCAAAAAGCCGGUCUCAGUUCGGAUUGAGGUCUGCAACUCGACCUCAUGAAGUCGGAGUCGCUAGUAAUCGCAGAUCAGCAACGCUGCGGUGAAUACGUUCCCGGGCCUUGUACACACCGCCCGUCAAGUCAUGAAAGUCGGUAACACCCGAAGCCGGUGGCCUAACCC
rnacentral:rRNA from 1 species